CGGCGUGCUUAACACAUGCAAGUCGAACGGAAAGGCCCUGCUUUUGUGGGGUGCUCGAGUGGCGAACGGGUGAGUAACACGUGAGUAGCCUGCCCUUGACUUUGGGAUAACUUCAGGAAACUGGGGCUAAUACCGGAUAGGAGCUCCUGCUGCAUGGUGGGGGUUGGAAAGUUUCGGCGGUUGGGGAUGGACUCGCGGCUUAUCAGCUUGUUGGUGGGGUAGUGGCUUACCAAGGCUUUGACGGGUAGCCGGCCUGAGAGGGUGACCGGCCACAUUGGGACUGAGAUACGGCCCAGACUCCUACGGGAGGCAGCAGUGGGGAAUAUUGCACAAUGGGCGGAAGCCUGAUGCAGCAACGCCGCGUGCGGGAUAACGGCCUUCGGGUUGUAAACCGCUUUCGCCUGUGACGAAGCGUGAGUGACGGUAAUGGGUAAAGAAGCACCGGCUAACUACGUGCCAGCAGCCGCGGUGAUACGUAGGGUGCGAGCGUUGUCCGGAUUUAUUGGGCGUAAAGGGCUCGUAGGUGGUUGAUCGCGUCGGAAGUGUAAUCUUGGGGCUUAACCCUGAGCGUGCUUUCGAUACGGGUUGACUUGAGGAAGGUAGGGGAGAAUGGAAUUCCUGGUGGAGCGGUGGAAUGCGCAGAUAUCAGGAGGAACACCAGUGGCGAAGGCGGUUCUCUGGGCCUUUCCUGACGCUGAGGAGCGAAAGCGUGGGGAGCGAACAGGCUUAGAUACCCUGGUAGUCCACGCUGUAAACGGUGGGUACUAGGUGUGGGGUCCAUUCCACGGGUUCCGUGCCGUAGCUAACGCUUUAAGUACCCCGCCUGGGGAGUACGGCCGCAAGGCUAAAACUCAAAGGAAUUGACGGGGCCCCGCACAAGCGGCGGAGCAUGCGGAUUAAUUCGAUGCAACGCGUAGAACCUUACCUGGGUUUGACAUGGAUCGGGAGUGCUCAGAGAUGGGUGUGCCUCUUUUGGGGUCGGUUCACAGGUGGUGCAUGGCUGUCGUCAGCUCGUGUCGUGAGAUGUUGGGUUAAGUCCCGCAACGAGCGCAACCCUUGUUCACUGUUGCCAGCACGUUAUGGUGGGGACUCAGUGGAGACCGCCGGGGUCAACUCGGAGGAAGGUGGGGAUGACGUCAAGUCAUCAUGCCCCUUAUGUCCAGGGCUUCACGCAUGCUACAAUGGCUGGUACAGAGAGUGGCGAGCCUGUGAGGGUGAGCGAAUCUCGGAAAGCCGGUCUCAGUUCGGAUUGGGGUCUGCAACUCGACCUCAUGAAGUCGGAGUCGCUAGUAAUCGCAGAUCAGCAACGCUGCGGUGAAUACGUUCCCGGGGCUUGUACACACCGCCCGUCAAGUCAUGAAAGUUGGUAACACCCGAAGCCGGUGGCCUAACCGUUGUGGGGGAGCCGUCGAAGGUGGGACUGGUGAUUAGGACUAAGUCAUA
rnacentral:rRNA from 1 species